ACGGCUCAGCCGGAGGUA
rnacentral:snRNA from 1 species